rnacentral:rRNA from 1 species
UACAGAGGGUGCAAGCGUUGUUCGGAAUUAUUGGGCGUAAAGGGAGUGUAGGCGGCUUGUUAAGUCUUCUGUGAAAUCUACGGGCUUAGCCUGUAACGUGCAGAGGAAACUGGCGAGCUUGAGUGUCGGAGAGGAUAGGGGAAUACCCAGUGUAGAGGUGAAAUUCGUAGAGAUUGGGUGGAACACCAGUGGCGAAGGCGCCUAUCUGGCUGACAACUGACGCCGAGACUCGAAAGCAUGGGGAGCAAACAGG